GGCGGAGCCGGAAGUGCUGGCUGUACAGAUUGGCCAUAGCCCAGAGGCGGUGCUUUGGGCGCUGGAGGUCCUGGCCAAUCAGAGCACAAGCUCCAUUUGCAGCAGCGCCUGCGGUUCCUGAGCGCCGCCACCAG